GGGAGCCUGCUUCCCCCCUCUCUCUGCUGUGCUGCUCUGUCCCAGGCAGCGGCCCGCACUGGCCCACACUGGUGGCCUCCUGUUCUCUUCCAGUCCUGCGUGAGCAAAGCACUCGCCCAGCUGUGCUGUGUGCAGGGCCUGGUUGCCUUUC